rnacentral:sRNA from 1 species
UUAGAAGCUCUAGAAAAUGUAAUCCCCUCUUUAUCCACCAGCCAGGUACAACACAGGAAGUGACACAGCAAGCUUUCCCAAGCUGCUCCACCACAGUCACCACAAUCCCAAACUGGAAAGACCACCCUGGGAAUAAAAGGCAAUUCGUAUUUCUUACCAACUAAUUCCUGAGCCUCU